rnacentral:tRNA from 1 species
GCCCUCCUGUGGCGCAAUGAGUCAGUGUGUCUGGCUGUUAACCAGAAGGUUGGUGGUUCGAGCCCACCCAGGGAUG